AUAUCGAUAACAUAGUUAUAUACCUGUAUAUAUCAGUAAAUGCAUCGAUAACUUAAUCGAAUAAAUUGGCGAUAACGCGAUCUAUAAAUAUAUUGUUGCAUUAAUAAAUGUAUCGAACGUCGAUAAAUAAAUGCAUACAUACUUAUGUACAUACAUACACCUAUCAGCUGAUUUACUAUUAGAAGUUAAGUAACUCCACGUAUAUAAGUACAAACAAACAUACACAUACAAGAACUCAUUGACUCGCAACUAACAUCCCAUAACGUUUAUUUCUUUUCGAUGAAUUUGUACUAAACCUCGUCUCACCAGCGUUGUCGCAAAAUGAAAAACCAGCAUUGCAGCACACUUAACCCAUAUCGAGCCAGCAGGGGAGCGUGAGAAGGUGACUGCAAUGCAGUUUCCUCAACUAGAGAUGCUGUCAGAGCACAGCACGCCAACGGCCACGCACGGCAGGAUAUCAGGCAGGAUGUUGAUUGCAAUUGUCUGUUCAGCGCUAAAGUCGGGGCAAAAGAGAGGCAAAAAUCUACUUCAAAGUAAGUAAAGGCGUGGGUGGCAUACGUAUGUGGCAUACAUGUAGAAGCAUUCGCACGAUUGGUUUUUGUCGACUCAGUCAAUGACACUGUGUCGGCUGAACGGGUGGAUCAAUGGUGCCAGCAGUCACAUCGCUGUUGGGUGAGUGUAUUAAGUAAAUGGUCGCAAGCAGGAAAAAUCAGUACGAUUUCGAUUAAAAAAGGUCGAUAAGUCAGUGUGUUAAGAGUGUUUAAAAAUAAAACUAGAACUGUGACAAAUAAAAAAUGCUACAUUUACAAAAGUUUGAGCCUUUGAAGCGCCCUCUGCCACCCACCAACCAUCGUCGUUCGCGGAAAUUGCAUUGUCUGACCGCAGCGCCUGAGUGCAUUCAGUGCACGCUGACACUUGCCAAUGAGCGUUUUGUAUGGCGGCACUGCUGCUUCCGGUGUUUUGUUUUGGGCCUGCAGCGCCAACACGCAACACCCAACAUGUUGCAGUCAGUCACUGCUGGCGUACAUACCAAAUAAAGUAGCCGCACCAACGAGCAGCGCUGUGUAUUUCUAAUCCUGCGGUUGCAUUGUGUAGAUGUCUGAAAUGUCGACCGGUUGAAUAAAGCGAUCAGCGGACAGGCAUUUGGAUAUUUGCAGUGCAGUUCAGCGCGCCUGAAGCAACAAUGGGCCCACAAAGGCGCGACUGCUGGCAGGACAAGAAAAAACACGCGCAUAUAAAUGUGAACGUAGCGAAGGCAAUGACAUGGUUGCAUGCUCAAACAAAACUUAACGAAUAUUUAAGAACUAAUAAUUAAAGGAAUGGGAACUUCAAGAGGAGUGGUGUACCUUUAAAGCUAGUUGUGUGCUAGUAUAAAUUAUAUAAAAGUAUUUAUUUACUCGUACAAGAAAGUAAACCAGGUUUGAGAACAAGUGGAAAAUUCAAUACAAAAAUUAAAAUUGAGUUAAAAAAUAAAAGAAAAAAAAAACAUACAGAUGCACUUACCGACGAAAUUUGAAUGUAAAAAACUCUUUAAAAGCGAGCAAACUGUAAAUCUCUAAAUGUUACUCAUACGCCAUGUUGUGCAUACCAGCACCAAUCAUCAGCGCAACCCCGAAGCGAAGCAUCUACAUAUCUAUGUAAAGUGUGCAAUUUAAAAUUUAUGGUGACAAUGUGCUAAUUUACGCGACGACUGCAAAAA